rnacentral:rRNA from 1 species
UACGGAGGGGGCUAGCGUUGUUCGGAAUUACUGGGCGUAAAGCGCACGUAGGCGGCUUUGCAAGUUAGAGGUGAAAGCCCGGGGCUCAACCCCGGAAUUGCCUUUAAAACUGCAUCGCUAGAAUUGUGGAGAGGUAAGUGGAAUUCCGAGUGUAGAGGUGAAAUUCGUAGAUAUUGGGAAGAACACCGGUGGCGAAGGCGGCUCUCUGGACCGAUACUGACGCUGAGGCGCGAAAGCGUGGGGAGCAAACAGG